GCAUCCUUAGCGCCUUGGGGGGUGGUGUUGGCGGGAGGUGCCUUGGCUUGGAAUGUUCAUUUCUUCUGGAAGCACCUGCUGGCUGCUCCACGUCUGGCUGUCCUGGGAAGUUUCGCCCAGGGGUCUGCCCCCAGGGUCUCUCUCGGGUUGGCUUGGGAGCAAGGUGGUCCAUGGGUGCCCCAACUGGAGGCCAUGGAGCGCGAGGAGGAAAGCAAAGCCUUCGGGUGUGUAGAUCUCCAGCCCUCAGCUGCAGUGCAGCCUGGCCCUGGGCCUCACUGAGUGCCAGUUUCCCUGAGGAGGUUGAGCUACUCCAGCUGGAGCUGUGAACACCAGCCAGCAAACCCCAGGCCAACCACUGGGACCACUGGGCCUCACAAUCAGCCCUCCUGCCCGGGAAGUAAGCCAGGCUAGUGACUGCUCCACAAGAUGCCAGUGCUGUUUGUAAACACACGACCCGGCUCACGAGACCUCUUCCUUGACUGUCAGAGGGGCUGUGCUGUGAGGACACGGGCUUCUCGACCCCAGAGGGAGCUGGGGUCCACUCAUGGGUGGGGCAGGCCUGCUGCCAGGACACCCAGGACCCCAUGGUAACCUGUAAACCUCCCCCCGCCACCCACCCACUGUGUGCCAAGUUCCAACAGGGACCUGAAGCAGGUGCUGCUAGGCUGCCCACAUACCAGCCUGGAAGGGGCCAUGCAACCUGGUGGUUCCCUGUGCUCCGGAACUAAGGCAGAGCAGGGAGGGAGCCUCCCCAGAAGGCUGACAAGGACCCUGGGGGCUGUCACUCAGAAGACAGGGAAAACCUGGGGCAAGGGCUCCCGCCAGCGACAUCGGUCAGCCCAGCGACAGCGCUCCAUCCAAGCA